rnacentral:rRNA from 1 species
GGGGGACAACGUUUCGAAAGGAACGCUAAUACCGCAUACGUCCUACGGGAGAAAGCAGGGGACCUUCGGGCCUUGCGCUAUCAGAUGAGCCUAGGUCGGAUUAGCUAGUUGGUGAGGUAAUGGCUCACCAAGGCGACGAUCCGUAACUGGUCUGAGAGGAUGAUCAGUCACACUGGAACUGAGACACGGUCCAG